rnacentral:rRNA from 1 species
CCUACGGGCGGCAGCAGUGGGGGAUAUUGCACAAUGGGGGAAACCCUGAUGCAGCGACGCCGCGUGUGGGCAGACGGUCCUCUGGAUUGUAAACCACUGUCCCCAGGGACGAAGAUGACGGUACCUGGGGAGGAAGCUCCGGCUAACUCCGUGCCAGCAGCCGCGGUAAUACGGAGGAUGCGAGCGUUAUCCGGAUUUAUUGGGUUUAAAGGGUGCGCAGGCGGUCUGUUAAGUCAGCGGUCAAAGCCCGGGGCUCAACCCCGGCCCGCCGUUGAAACUGGCAGUCUCGAGUUGGAGAGAAGUAUGCGGAAUGCGCGGUGUAGCGGUGAAAGGCAUAGAUAUCGCGCAGAACUCCGAUUGCGAAGGCAGCAUGCCGGCUCCACACUGACGCUGAGGCACGAAAGCGUGGGUAUCGAACAGGAUUAGAUACCCCAGUAGUC